rnacentral:rRNA from 1 species
GACGAACGCUGGCGGCGUGCUUAACACAUGCAAGUCGAACGGAAAGGCCCUGCUUUUGUGGGGUGCUCGAGUGGCGAACGGGUGAGUAACACGUGAGUAACCUGCCCUUGACUUUGGGAUAACUUCAGGAAACUGGGGCUAAUACCGGAUAGGAGCUCCUGCUGCAUGGUGGGGGUUGGAAAGUUUCGGCGGUUGGGGAUGGACUCGCGGCUUAUCAGCUUGUUGGUGGGGUAGUGGCUUACCAAGGCUUUGACGGGUAGCCGGCCUGAGAGGGUGACCGGCGACAUUGGGACUGAGAGACGGCCCAGACUCCUACGGUAGGCAGCAGUGGGGAAUAUUGCACAAUGGGCGGAAGCCUGAUGCAGCAGCGCCGCGUGCGGGAUGACGGCCUGCGGGUUGUAAACCGCUUUCGCCUGUGACGAAGCGGGAGUGACGGUAAUGGGUAAAGAAGCACCGGCUAACUACGUG